UCAGUAUGUUGUGAUAGUAAUUAUAUAAUGGAGUUACGGAAAGCUGAGUGCCGAAGAUUUGUAGAAGAUAUUUAGCAAUGGAUUACAAAUAUUUACAAUCACAACAAAGUACACAAAUUAAAACAAGGACAUUACUGUUGAGAGUGAACCUUGGAUUAAAAAGGAUUUCCGCAUAUCAAAACUCUGUGUAGUUCUAUGACAUCCAAAUGAAAGCGAAAAGUAUUUGCUGUUUACUAAAUGAUAAGCAAUAUGCCUCGGCCACUUUAAGAUAAACUAACUGGACAGAGAUUGGUUCAAUUAAUAAAAUUUGAACAAAAAGGUUUGAUUUAACAUCCUUGGAUAUUAUUGGAGAUGAUUAGUACUAUUUUGACUUGAAUAUGUUGAGAGAGACAUAUCUAAGCUUACUAAAUCAAGGAUCAACUCUCAGUUAAGCUUUAAAUUUACUUAUAUUAGAGCAAAAAUGUCCAAUUUCAAUUGUCUAUGGUAAUAUGGUUCUAUAUAAUAUUUUGCUAAAAUUUUAAAUAAAUAUAU